CCGACUCUGAUAUGUCUAGUAUUCUUGGGUUCUAGAUUCCUUUAGAGGCAACCCUAAUGCUGGGCAUAUCGGAGGCAGU
rfam:Bursaphelenchus xylophilus, Ka4C1 (inbred line), WGS project CADV01000000 data, contig: scaffold01656.20